GACGAACGCUGGCGGCGUGCUUAACACAUGCAAGUCGAACGGAAAGGCCCUGCUUUUGUGGGUGCUCGAGUGGCGAACGGGUGAGUAACACGUGAGUAACCUGCCCUUGACUUUGGGAUAACUUCAGGAAACUGGGGCUAAUACCGGAUAGGAGCUCCUGCUGCAUGGUGGGGGUUGGAAAGUUUCGGCGGUUGGGGAUGGACUCGCGGCUUAUCAGCUUGUUGGUGGGGUAGUGGCUUACCAAGGCUUUGACGGGUAGCCGGCCUGAGAGGGUGACCGGCCACAAUGGGACUGAGAUACGGCCCAGACGCCUACGGGAGGCAGCAGUGGGGAGUAUUACACAAUGGGCGGAAGCCUGAUGCAGAAGCGCCGCGUGCGGGAAGACGGCCUUCGGGUUGUAAACCGCUUUCGCCUGUGACGAAGCGUGAGUGACGGUAAUGGGUAAAGAAGCACCGGCUAACUACGUG
rnacentral:rRNA from 1 species